CAGUAGCCACGGUAAUACAGAGGGUGCAAGCGUUAAUCGGAAUUACUGGGCGUAAAGCGCGCGUAGGUGGUUUGUUAAGUUGGAUGUGAAAGCCCCGGGCUCAACCUGGGAACUGCAUCCAAAACUGGCAAGCUAGAGUACGGUAGAGGGUGGUGGAAUUUCCUGUGUAGCGGUGAAAUGCGUAGAUAUAGGAAUGAACACCAGUGGCGAAGGCGACCACCUGGACUGAUACUGACACUGAGGUGCGAAAGCGUGGGGAGCAAACAGGAUUAGAGACCCCGGUAGUCCCUGUCUCUUAUAC
rnacentral:rRNA from 1 species